CGCUGGGGGGGCCCACGGCCGGACCCCCCGGCCCAGCCCGGGGUCUCACCCGCAUGUACUCGCUGGGGGCCCCGGGGGGGCCACCCUGGGGUCCCCGUCCCGCCGCCCUGGAGCGCUCCCUCUCCAUGAAGCCCCCGGUGCUGCCCAAGCCCCUGCUGGUGCCGGCGGCCCCCGGACGGCCCUGACCCCCCCCUGACCCCCCUGGGGACGUCCCUGACCCCCAUGGGACACCCUGGGGGUUGGGGGGGGGGUGACAAGCCAUCCCCUGCCCUGGGUGGCAGGGUCCCACCCCCCCAGCGCCAUGCCAUGAGCCAUCGGGGUCCCCAGGUUGGCCCCCUCUGGGGCGAUGAGGGUCCCCUUGUCCCCAAACUGGCCCCCACUGGGGUGACAAGAGUCCCCCAUGUCCCAGCUCAGGGUGACAAGGGUCCCCAUAUCCCCAGGUUGACCCCCACUAGGGUGACAAGGGUCCCCUUGUCCCCAAGUUGGCCCCCUCUGGGGCGAUGAGGGUCCCCUUGUCCCCAAAUUGGCCCCAACGGGGGUGACAAGGGUCCCCUGUGUCCCAGCUCAGGGUGACAAGGGCCCUCCAUGUCCCCAGGUUGGCCCCCACUGGGGUGACGAGGGUCCCCUUGUCCUCAUGUUGGCCCCCACUGGGGUGAGGAGGGUCCCCAUGUCCCCAAACUGGCCCCCACUGGGGUGACAAGGGUCCCCCGUGUCCCAGCUUAGGGUGACAAGGGACCCCCAUGUCCCCAGGUUGACCCCCACUAGGGUGACAAGGGCCCCCAUGUCCCCAAACUGGUCCCCACUGGGGUGACAAGGGCCCCCAUGUCCCCAAACUGGCCCCCACUGGGGUGAUGAGGGUCCUCCAUGUCCCAGCUCAGGGUGACGAGGGUCCCCAUGUCCCCAAACUGGCCCCCACCACAGCGAGGAGGGUCCCCACAUCCCAGCUCCGGGUGACAAGGACCCGUUGUCCCCAGGGUGACAGGGGACCCCAGGCUUCCCCCCCCACACACACACACUGGGGGGACAAUGUUCCCCGUGUCCCAGUUUUAGGGUGACAAGGGCCCCCACGUUCCUAGACUGACCCCC
rnacentral:lncRNA from 1 species